ensembl:lncRNA
AUCCAUCUCUUUCACCCCCAAACCACUAACAGCUGCUCCUCCCACACAAACACCAGCCUCAUCCAGUGGGGGGGAUUCCAAAGUGUUCGGGUGUGGUCAGGUGUGGUCAGGUAUGGUCAGGUGUGGUCAGGUAUUCAGGUAUGGUCAGGUAUGGUCAGGUGUGGUCAGGUAUGAUCAGGUAUUCAGGUGUGGUGAGUUAUGGUCAGGUGUGGUCAGGUGUGGUCAGGUAUGGUCAGGUGUGGUCAGGUAUGAUCAGGUAUUCAGGUGUGGUGAGUUAUGGUCAGGUAUGGUCAGGUAUGGUCAGGUGUGGUCAGGUAUGAUCAGGUAUUCAGGUGUGGUGAGUUAUGGUCAGGUGUGGUCAGGUGUGGUCAGGUAAGGUCAGGUGUGGUCAGGUAUGAUCAGGUAUUCAGGUGUGGUGAGUUAUGGUCAGGUAUGGUCAGGUGUGGUCAGGUAUGAUCAGGUAUUCAGGUGUGGUGAGUUAUGGUCAGGUAUGGUCAGGUAUGGUCAGGUGUGGUCAGGUAUGAUCAGGUAUUCAGGUGUGGUGAGUUAUGGUCAGGUGUGGUCAGGUAAGGUCAGGUAUGGUCAGGUAUUCAGG